AUUAUUAGUUGCCGAGCAAUCACAUAGGGGAUAUGAUUAGUCGUGAUAUGAGAAGAAAUCAAUGGCUCGGAGGAGGAGCGCUACGUAGACAAGACCUGGCCUCACUAAGGAUAUACAUAUAUGUUAAUAUCGGAAUUACUAAUAUCGGACCCCGCGAUUUUUCUACCACAUCACGUGGUGUAGUGCUUGCAUUAUAAACGCUCCUAUCAAGAUCGUCUGCCUUUACAACAGAGAUAAGACAGUCUUGAAAACAUCAAGCUUUUGUAAGUGGUUUGGAACUUCCACGACGCCAUAAUGACGGUGAUAGUGCUUUUGUUUUGUUCAAUCCUUAUGUCCAGUGUUUUGCUAUCCAACGCGAACUGGUACGGAAAAAGGGGAAGUGAAGUAGACGACGCCUUCCAGAGGUACUUAGAGGGCAGACUGGUGAAAUCUAUAGGCAGUCGACACAGCGACGAUAGGGAAAUCCUAUUCAAGAUAUCGAAAUUAUUGCAGGAAUGGCAGCUGAAAAACAAGGCAAAUGAGGUGGCGGAAGUGACAUCAUAUGACCGGAAGUGAAAAGUUGCGUCAAAUGAGAACCAAAAUCACCAAUGUCGUGGGGAUGAAGUCAGCAUGGAAGAUGUUCCAAAGCCAAUCGUUUUAUCCAUAUGGAGAUUCCAGAAGAUUUUAUUUUCAUAUUCAUGAACGUAUACAUAGAGUACUCACCAACAUGUGUCCGUGAAGACGGGAACAUGGUUUAUUACGUGUGUGUAUUAACGAUAAAAAAAAUCAGACAUUAUGUGAUUUUCUUAAAGUCAUUCUUAUAAAAAGUAGCAUAAUUACCAUUCGUAUAUACCUUUACAGAUAUGAGUUACCAGGUACAACAAAAACUUACAUGCAGAGAACACAUCAAUACACAAAUAAUAGGUAAACAAUAUAGCAGGGAACACACAGGUACAAUACGUAUUGGUAAAUAAAACAGAAAGGAACACACAGGUACAACAACAAUAGGUUCACAAUACAGUAGGGAACACAGGUUCAACAACAAUAGGUUAACAAUACAAUAGGAAACACACAGGUUCAACAAUACUGAACAGAACUUACCUGUGCAACACAAGAAGGUACAAGCACAUACGAAACACGCAUGAACAACAAUAGAUGGUUCCAAAAA